rnacentral:rRNA from 1 species
UGAUACUAAGCCAUGCGAGUCAUUGUAGCAAUACAAGGCAUACGGCUCAGUAACGCGUAGUCAACCUAACCUAUGGACGGGAAUAACCUCGGGAAACUGAGAAUAAUGCCCGAUAGAACAUUAUGCCUGGAAUGGUUUAUGUUCCAAAUGAUUUAUCGCCGUAGGAUGGGACUGCGGCCUAUCAGUUUGUUGGUGAGGUAAUGGCCCACCAAGACUAUUACAGGUACGGGCUCUGAGAGGAGUAGCCCGGAGAUGGGUACUGAGACACGGACCCAGGCCCUAUGGGGCGCAGCAGGCGAGAAAACUUUGCAAUGUGCGAAAGCACGACAAGGUUAAUCCGAGUGGUUUCUGCUAAAGGAACCUUUUGUCAGUCCUAGAAACACUGAUGAAUAAGGGGUGGGCAAGUUCCGGUGUCAGCCGCCGCGGUAAAACCAGCACCUCAAGUGGUCAGGAUGAUUAUUGGGCCUAAAGCAUCCGUAGCCGGCUCUGUAAGUUUUCGGUUAAAUCUGUACGCUCAACGUACAGGCUGCCGGGAAUACUGCAAAGCUAGGGAGUGGGAGAGGUAGACGGUACUCGGUAGGAAGGGGUAAAAUCCUUUGAUCUAUUGAUGACCACCUGUGGCGAAGGCGGUCUACCAGAACACGUCCGACGGUGAGGGAUGAAAGCUGGGGGAGCAAACCGGAUUAGAUACCCGGGUAGUCCCAGCUGUAAACCAUGCAAACUCAGUGAUGCAUUGGCUUGUGGCCAAUGCAGUGCUGCAGGGAAGCCGUUAAGUUUGCCGCCUGGGAAGUACGUACGCAAGUAUGAAACUUAAAGGAAUUGGCGGGGGAGCACCACAAGGGGUGAAGCCUGCGGUUCAAUUGG